CAGGUAUGUUCUAGCAAGUCUCAUUCCACAAAAGGAAGAAGUGAAUCAUCUUAUGUGUUGAUACAGGCUGAAGGCUGCCAUAAACACAUACCUGCAGGAGUUUUCUAAUCUCGCCAAAAACAUGUUGAGAAUCUCUCUACCUGUUAUAACGGCACACUGCACUGUCUUGCAGGGCAGCAGCUGAUUAUGAAGUCUAAGUUCGAUCCAAGUGAAGGAGUUGAUAUUCCUACCAAAAGUACAACUCAAGUUUGGGGGCAUCAAGAAACGUGCACACUAUAAACUCACUAAAGCAAGGGACGCUUUGUUCCCUGUGCUAUUAUAGUCUCCAUUCUUAAGCACGUUAUAUGUACCUUGUACAUCUAACUCUGUGAGCCUGGAGAGGAUUACCUUCCUUCCUUCAUUCCUUCUCUCCUUCCUCACUCCUUUUCUUUCUUGGUUUCUUUCUCUCUCUCUCUCUUUCUUUCUUUCUUUCUUUCUUUCUUUCUUUCUUUCUUUCUUUCUUUCUUUCUUUCUUUCUUUCUUUCUUUCUUUCUUUCUUUCUUUCUUUCUUUCUUUCUUUCUUUCUUUCUUUCUUUCUUUCUUUCUUUCUUUCUUUCUUUCUUUCUUUCUUUUUCUUCCUUCCUUUCUUCCUUUCUUUCUUUCUUUCUUUCUUUCUUCCUUCCUUCCUUCCUUCCUUCCUUCCUUCCUUCCUUCCUUCCUUCCUUCCUUCCUUCCUUCCUUCCUCCCUCCCUCCCUCCCUCCCUCCCUCUCUCUCUCUCUCUCUCUCUCUCUCUCUCUCUCUCUCUCUCUCUCUCUCUCUCUCUCUUUCUUUCUUUCACCUUUAUAUUCUCUCUUGGAACUGACACUGAAUAUUUGUUCCAAAGCAGAAAUUAAGCAAGGGCUAGGUAAUUGGGAUUAAGUAACUUGUCCAGGAUCACAUAGCUAGGAAGUAUUUGAACUUAAGACUUUCUGUCUCCAGGCCUGGCAGUCUAUCUACUAAGUCACCUAACUACUCUGAUAAUCUCUCUUGUUUUGCCUAUAUAGCUCACAGUUUCCCCAUAUUGUAAAUCAUGAGGGAUAAAGUGUACCUUAACAAAUGCUAUAUAUUUUGUUUCUAAUGUUUGCUGGCCCUCAAGCUAUAUUUAGGAAUAAGAGUUAAUAGAGAUGGAAAACUUAAUAGACAGACAAGAGCUAAGGUUUGAGGAUAGGAGAAAGAAUACAUAGAAAGAGAGGAUUGAGUAUCUAGAUUGGUAGGGGAGAAGAGGGAGGGGGAAAGCCUGUUUAUCUGUGCAUUUCCCUUGUACCCAUCCCUAUCCAGGGAACUUCUGUGCCCCAUAAAUUGUAGCUAUGAAGAUUAACUACAAAAAGUGUUCUUGGAGGAGGAAACUUCUAGGGGUAGGGAUUCUAGAAAAAGCUUCCUAGAGCAAAAAGGAGAAAACAAGUUAUUAUGCUGAGUUCCAGAAUCUUGAAAGCAAAAUGAAUGGAGCCCCAGCAAGCAACACAAAGGGAGAAAUAGA
rnacentral:lncRNA from 1 species